UACGGAGGGUGCAAGCGUUGUGCGGAGUCAAGGGGAAAAAAGGGUGAGUAGGCGGAUAUGUAAGUCCGUGGUGAAAUCUCUGGGCUUAACCCGGAAACUGCCAUGGAUACUAUGUGUCUUGAAUGUUGUUGAGGUGAGCGGAAUAUGUCAUGUAGCGGUGAAAUGCUUAGAUAUGACAUAGAACACCUAUUGCGAAGGCAGCUAACUACGCGAAUAUUGACGCUGAGGCACGAAAGCGUGGGGAUCAAACAGG
rnacentral:rRNA from 1 species